GAUUCAUAAUGGCAAAUAUUUAAAAGUGGAGUAUAAGCACAUAGUGAGUGAAACAGGUGACUGACACUGAAACACUUAGUGCAUUACGGUAAUCUAGUUUUUCAGCACCACUUUGAGACAGACAUGGCAGAAAGCAAGUAGUUUAAUAUGGACACUGAAGGAUAUAAUCUGGUCAAAAAUAACUACAAGGUUUCUCACAGUGUUCCUGGAGGCAAAGAUAAUGACAUUAAGAGAACGUAUCUGGUGAAAUACCACAUAUCUGAGAUUUAUUUUGGGUCAAAUCUCUGUUUAGAUAUUUAAUUCAUAUUAUUGAUCAGCUUGGAUCAUUUCAGUAGAUCAAGAGGAAAGUGAAGAAGAUGACCUCAUCACUCGUGUCAUCAUCAAGAUAUCAGCUCAUCGAGAACAAUCUGACAAAGAAAGACGAGAUAUUUAUUUUGUAGUUGUGGUCUACUCAGCGGUGAGAAGUGAAGACAUCAGUUAUGGACAAACAAUCAUCAGAACAAGGAGGCCCAGACUUUAAACCAGAGCCAGACGUCGUCUACUCUUCACUGAAGUAGUCCACCAGUCCAACCAGUGACGUCCAGCUGCUGGUCUCUAACUGGUCUUCCCAGCACCUCAGACCAGAGGGAAAAAACGAUAAAACACAUUUUUACAUGUUUUAUGUCAUUUUUUGUGUAUUUCUUUAUCAGAAUAUUAAAUAUUUUACAUUCGAGGCUAAAUGAGUAAUGUACAAAGGGCCUACACCAUACACCAGUGAAGAUUAGUUAGUGAUAUCAUACGUCAGAAUGUGUUCAGUAACAAACACAUUGUGGUGAUAAGUCUAACAAAAGUCAGAAGAAAUGAUGCAGAAAGAUGCAUCUGGUUAAAAGGG